rnacentral:lncRNA from 1 species
ACCUUCCAGUCGUGCGCCUGAGGAGCCUGAGGAUUCUCUUGCUACACACCUAUUCUCCACAUGUAGGGUGGUAAGGCGUCCACACCCAGCGUUCUGUAGGCGAGCUCUCAGUUUGGAAUGACCUGUUUUUUUCAUGUCCAAAACCUCAUCUGCAAUUGCUUUUGAGAUUCAGUCUACAAGCAGCCGUGUUGAAGAUACAUAACUGCAAUUUAAAACAAAUGUGCUUGGGGUCUGUUUGUUUUGCUUUCAGGCAGAAGAGUAUUUUCAGUGGAAUAAGUUACCCUGUGGCAUGGCUUCCAAAACUAAAACUGUACUCCACACAAUCAGCAUCAAGCCAUCUACCAUGUGGUUUGGAGAGAGGACCAGAAAAACAAACGUGAUUGUGAGAACCGGAGAGAGCUCAUACAGAGCUUGCUUCUCUUUCCACUCCUCCUACAGUGAGGUAAGAGUCCCCGUCAGCGCCUAACUCAGGGGAGGCUACAUGUAAGCGCAUGUAUGUGGAGUGAGUGUAUGCGCAGGUGAGUGGAG